AAACCUUACCUGGUCUUGACAUAGUAAGAACUUUCCAGAGAUGGAUUGGUGCCUUCGGGAACUUACAUACAGGUGCUGCAUGACUGUCGUCAGCUCGUGUCGUGAGAUGUUGGGUUAAGUCCCGCAACGAGCGCAACCCUUUUCCUUAUUUGCCAGCGGGUUAAGCCGGGAACUUUAAGGAUACUGCCAGUGACAAACUGGAGGAAGGCGGGGACGACGUCAAGUCAUCAUGGCCCUUACGACCAGGGCUACACACGUGCUACAAUGGUCGGUACAAAGGGUUGCUACCUAGCGAUAGGAUGCUAAUCUCAAAAAGCCGAUCGUAGUCCGGAUUGGAGUCUGCAACUCGACUCCAUGAAGUCGGAAUCGCUAGUAAUCGCGGAUCAGAAUGCCGCGGUGAAUACGUUCCCGGGCCUUGUACACACCGCCCGUCACACCAUGGGAGUUUGUUGCGCCAGAAGUAGGUAGUCUAACCGCAAGGAGGACGCUUACCACGGUGUGGCCGAUGACUGGGGUGAAGUCGUAACAAGGUAAGCGUAGAUGA
rnacentral:rRNA from 1 species